AAAGCCCCGCCGGUCAUCCACGGGGGACGACCUCAUUUGCGCCCUCGGAUUGGGCCCACGAACCCAGACCGGGCCCUUCCAUUGGCGGGCGGAGCUGUCAGUUACUCAGCGCACAGCUUGCUGGGAGUUGUAGGCCGAGGAGUCCUUGUCCCGGAGGCUUCGGGCGCUAAGAAGGACUUUUCUGGUGGGCUGGUGUGAGCCCGCGAGUUCCCGCCCCGGCCUCCCCAGUGUAUUUUAGUUCAGGAACCCCCCAGGCCCAGCGCGCAGCUUCCAAGAGCUUCUUUUCCCGGGCCUACGGGCCCGGAGGUUGUGGGGACCCGUCUGCGAGACCGAGGGCGGUUCCCUGAGGCUGGAGAUGCCGUUGUUUGACCCGUCGGGGCCCAGGGCGCGGAAGACCUGAGGGUUAGGCGUUUGUCCCCCAGAAGCCUACAGUUCCGUACGCCAGAAACGGAGCAAGUUUGUCCGCCUGUUUGGCUCCGUCAGUCCAAGGGGGCCCGUGACUGGUCACAAUGGGAGAGUGGAGGAUGGCCAAGAGGGAGGAAACCCUUUGUGGACUCACAGAAUAAUCUGGAAGAUGGACGCGACAGGCAGCCUUGGCAAUUUCUUGGCCUCCUUCUUCAAGUAGCCUGAUUCGGCCCUGGGAGGGCUUUGCCACAACCCCAGAUCUGGGACCUGUAUCUCCACCAUUUCCAGAAAUGGAUUCUUCUGUUAUUUGUAUUUAAUGAACAUGUCGACUUGACAGAUUGAUCGUGACUUUUGACUUGAAGAGACCCUUCGGUGGGAUUGCGUUCGCUGCAGCUGUGUUCAUGGCUGGCUCCCCGUCAGAACAGUACGCCUCUGAGGAUGAAGGCUAUCGUCUGUGACAUUCUCUGUGCAUUCACAGCAGCUAGAUGCACGCCUGGCCCAGUACUGGAGCCCCAUAAACAUCUAUUAGAUGGACACGUGAGAAUACUGAGGCACGGCUACGUACGGACAUGGCCGGAGGUCACAGGAAGUUACUGGAGACUGGGGACAUGAAUGCGUCGUCUGACUCUUACUCUGUUGAGUUGUUCAGUGUAAUACCUGGUCUCUAUUCAGUA